GUUUUUUCUUCCAAUAGUUCAGCUGGUUGGAGCACGGUACUGAAAAAGCCAAGGUUGCAGGUUCGAUCCUUGUAAGGAACA